AUGUUACUGUUGUUAGAGCAUGAGCUCCCCGGGGACAAUCUUGGCGCCCCCAUGUUUGGCACAGCUCCUGGCAUACAGAAAGAGCAGCAUAAAUACUUGGGGACUUGUUCUUAUCAGAGGAUCAUAAACCACAGAUUUGGUGCUGAAGGGGCCCUCAGAGUCCAUCUAGUCCAAACCCCUCCGUUAUACAACGAAGAUGACUUGCCCUGGAUGGAAACACAGGAAAACUGGCAUUCCAACACAGGACUCCCAGAUUGAAGGUAAACGUAGAGAGAGAACAGCUCAUUUCCAAUCCAAGAAGCAACUAAAAGAUCGAGAUGUCAAUUGCCAAGUAAAUUCUUCUUUAAAAGAAGUAUACAAAUAAUUCUCUUACAUAAAAGAGAUGAACUCUGAGAAGAUAACUUCUUCACCAAAGUCAUCCCAUUUACUGAAAUCGGCCAUAUUCUACAUUAAAGAAUUAGAAGAGACUUUAAAUUUUGCACUUGUACUGGAUAAGCUAAAAAUAUAACAAUAUUGCUAUUAAUGGAUCCUGUAUGAUCUUAAAAAAAAGUGCUAAUAUAUUUAAGAAAAAGUCAGUGGAGAGAGUUUGAACAAAUAGGAACUAGAGAAGAAUGGGUAAAAAGUUAAAUGAAAGUUGCCAUCUAUUUGCACUAACACAGCAUGAAUAAAGAGUUUGAAAGUAAACA
rnacentral:lncRNA from 1 species